AACGAACGCUGGCGGCAUGCCUAACACAUGCAAGUCGAACGAGACCUUCGGGUCUAGUGGCGCACGGGUGCGUAACGCGUGGGAACCUGCCCUUAGGUUCGGAAUGACUCCCCGAAAGGGGUGCUAAUACCGGAUAAUGUCUUCGGACCAAAGAUUUAUCGCCUUUGGAUGGGCCCGCGUUGGAUUAGCUAGUUGGUAGGGUAAAAGCCUACCAAGGCGACGAUCCAUAGCUGGUCUGAGAGGAUGAUCAGACACACUGGGACUGAGACACGGCCCAGACUCCUACGGGAGGCAGCAGUGGGGAAUAUUGGACAAUGGGCGAAAGCCUGAUCCAGCAAUGCCGCGUGAGUGAUGAAGGCCUUAGGGUUGUAAAGCUCUUUUACCCGGGAUGAUAAUGACAGUACCGGGAGAAUAAGCUCCGGCUAACUCCGUG
rnacentral:rRNA from 1 species